CCGCGGUAAUACGGAGGGUGCAAGCGUUAUCCGGAUUUAUUGGGUUUAAAGGGUCCGUAGGCGCAUGCGUAAGUCAGUGGUGAAAUCUCACAGCUCAACUGUGAAACUGCCAUUGAUACUGCGUGUCUUGAGUGAGGUUGAAGUAGCUGGAAUAAGUAGUGUAGCGGUGAAAUGCAUAGAUAUUACUUAGAACACCAAUUGCGAAGGCAGGUUACUAAGUCUCAACUGACGCUGAUGGACGAAAGCGUGGGGAGCGAACAGGAUUAGAUACCCUGGUAGUCCACGCUGUAAACGAUGCUAACUCGUUUUUGGGGAUUUAUCUUCAGAGACUAAGCGAAAGUGAUAAGUUAGCCACCUGGGGAGUACGAACGCAAGUUUGAAACUCAAAGGAAUUGACGGGGGCCCGCACAAGCGGUGGAUUAUGUGGUUUAAUUCGAUGAUACGCGAGGAACCUUACCAAGGCUUAAAUGGGAAUUGAUCGGUUUAGAAAUAGACCUUCCUUCGGGCAAUUUUCAAGGUGCCGCAUGGUUGUCGUCAGCUCGUGCCGUGAGGUGUUAGGUUAAGUCCUGCAACGAGCGCAACCCCUGUCACUAGUUGC
rnacentral:rRNA from 1 species